rnacentral:snoRNA from 1 species
ACCCUCCAGAUUCUUUACUCCUAACUAUUGCUUUAAGCGGCUACAAAAGGACGGAAAGGAAAACUGAAGUGGGCUUGCAGUCUCUAGUGACAGACAAGUUCAUUUCAAACAGAC